AAGAUCUAAUCCAAUAUCUUAAAAUAAAUACAAGACUUGUCCAAAAUUUAGGAUAAAAUAAAUCAAAGACAGCUUUAUGAAGAAGAAAAUUUCAUUGACUAAAUAUGAAAACUUGUACAUAAUGAAAGUAGAAUGGGUAUUUAUAGAAUUAUAAAUCCUAAUCUUAGUAGAAAUAAAUUAAAGAGUUUUAAUCUAAAUAGAAAAUAUAUUUAUAUACUUAGAUUAAAUAGAAAUAAUAUUUUAGA
rnacentral:misc_RNA from 1 species